rnacentral:lncRNA from 1 species
GAAACUCUUUACUAAAUAAAGUGCAUGGUGGAUAUAGAAGAGAAUAAUGCAGCCAUCUGGAAAGAACAUUCCUGUGAGCUCUCCUUCAGAAGAGAUUAAGAGCAAAGCCUUCAAAUGUUUUUUCUCCCUCCAGAAGACCAGGUUCCAGAACAGGAAAUAAAAGGCUCCAAUGGUUGCUGUUGUAACUCAUGCUUACUCUGUAGCUAAUGGAUGACUGGAUCAGUUACUACCUCUACGCAUUCCUACUGUCUGCUGAAC